AGUGAACGCUGGCGGUAGGCCUAACACAUGCAAGUCGAACGGCAGCACAGUAAGAGCUUGCUCUUACGGGUGGCGAGUGGUGGACGGGUGAGGAAUACAUCGGAAUCUACUUUUUCGUGGGGGAUAACGUAGGGAAACUUACGCUAAUACCGCAUACGACCUACGGGUGAAAGCAGGGGAUCUUCGGACCUUGCGCGAUUGAAUGAGCCGAUGUCGGAUUAGCUAGUUGGCGGGGUAAAGGCCCACCAAGGCGACGAUCCGUAGCUGGUCUGAGAGGAUGAUCGGCCACACUGGAACUGAGACACGGUCCAGACUCCUACGGGAGGCAGCAGUGGGGAAUAUUGGACAAUGGGCGCAAGCCUGAUCCAGCCAUACCGCGUGGGUGAAGAAGGCCUUCGGGUUGUAAAGCCCUUUUGUUGGGAAAGAAAAGCAGCAGGUUAAUACCCCGCUGUUCUGACGGUACCCAAAGAAUAAGCACCGGCUAACUUCGUG
rnacentral:rRNA from 1 species